rnacentral:rRNA from 1 species
UACGUAGGGGGCUAGCGUUGUCCGGAAUCAUUUGGGCGUAAAGCGCGUGUAGGCGGUCCGGUAAGUCCGCUGUGAAAGUCGGGGGCUCAACCCUCGAAUGCCGGUGGAUACUGUCGGGCUAGAGUGCGGAAGAGGCGAGUGGAAUUCCUGGUGUAGCGGUGAAAUGCGCAGAUAUCAGGAGGAACACCAAUUGCGAAGGCAGCUCGCUGGGACGUAACUGACGCUGGAGACGCGAAAGCGUGGGGAGCAAACAGG